GAUGAAGAACGUAGCGAAAUGCGAUAAGUAAUGUGAAUUGCAGAAUUCAGUGAAUCAUCGAAUCUUUGAACGCACAUUGCGCCCCCUGGUAUUCCGGGGGGCAUGCCUGUCCGAGCGUCAUUACAACCCUCAAGCUCAGCUUGGUGUUGGGCCCCGCCGCCCCGGCGGGCCCUAAAGUCAGUGGCGGUGCCGUCCGGCUCCGAGCGUAGUAAUUCUUCUCGCUCUGGAGGUCCGGUCGUGUGCUCGCAAGCAACCCCCAAUUGGUUUCAGGUUGACCUCGGAUCAGGUAGGGAUACCCGCUGAACUUAAGCAUAUCAAUAAGCGGAGGA
rnacentral:misc_RNA from 1 species